UACGUAGGGUGCAAGCGUUGUCCGGAAUUAUUGGGCGUAAAGAGCUUGUAGGCGGUUUGUCGCGUCUGCUGUGAAAUUUCGGGGCUCAACCCCGAACUUGCAGUGGGUACGGGCAGACUAGAGUGUGGUAGGGGAGACUGGAAUUCCUGGUGUAGCGGUGAAAUGCGCAGAUAUCAGGAGGAACACCGGUGGCGAAGGCGGGUCUCUGGGCAGUAACUGACGCUGAGAAGCGAAAGCAUGGGGAGCGAACAGG
rnacentral:rRNA from 1 species